rnacentral:rRNA from 1 species
UACAGAGGAGCCAAGCGUUGUCCGGAUUGACUGGGCGUAAAGCGCACGCAGGCGGUCGCGCGCGUGGGGUGUGAAAUCUGGCCGCUUAACGGCCAGGCGCCAUCCCAUACGGCGCGACUGGAGGCUUGCAGAGGUCGGUGGAAUUGCCGGUGUAGUGGUGAAAUGCGUAGAGAUCUGGAGGAACACCGAUGGCGAAGGCAGCCUUCUGGGCCAACACUGACGCUCAUGCACGAAAGCGUGGGGAGCAAACAGG